rnacentral:lncRNA from 1 species
CUUCCAUGCCAGAAUACAUGCAUAUAUACACAUGCAUGCAUGCGUGACCCAUACGGUUCCCGUCGAUCAUGAGUGUCCAGAAUAUCUCCGCCUUGACGUCUAUUGAUGGUGUCAGAUGUGUUUUAGUCGUAAGCGUGACGGAUCUGUUCAGACGAUCAUUGGACGAUUGUUAACUUUACAGGCAGGGUCACUUGAACCAGUUGGACGAUUCUUCGCUUGAGAACGCCCGAGAGAACCCCCAGGCCUCGCGUGCUGGCUAGGCGUCUGGAGUACACGAGCUCGAUAUUCCCUUCGUACACACCAGGGGGGAGCAUGAGUGACUGAAAAAGAAUUUCCACUUCUCCGAUAGGAUCUGCAGUUCCGCCGACAUGUAGUUCCGCGGGGGAUAGUGAGAUGAAUUGAAGCUGACUAAGAACAAUAGCCCGAUACGCGUUCAGACGGGCUCCUGUGAGAGAGACAUUCGCAUGUCGUUUAUCCGUGAUGGCACUUUGGACAAGCACAUCCACCACUUGCUGAGGUUGAAGCAUAGGAUUGUAGGCGAGGAUCUCUGCGGCAACGCCACUGACCAUAGGUGCCGCCAUUGACGUUCCGCUGCUCAGGCGGUAUCCACUCCCCAUCCAUGUGCUGGUGAUGUUUUCCCCCGGUGCUGUAAGGUGAACAGUAUUGUGGCCAUAGUUUGACC